UACAGAGGGGGCAAGCGUUAAUCGGAAUUACUGGGCGUAAAGCGUGCGCAGGCGGUUUUGUAAGACUGUCGUGAAAUCCCCGGGCUUAACCUGGGAAUGGCGAUGGUGACUGCAAGGCUAGAGUUUGGCAGAGGGGGGUAGAAUUCCACGUGUAGCAGUGAAAUGCGUAGAGAUGUGGAGGAACACCGAUGGCGAAGGCAGCCCCCUGGGUCAAAACUGACGCUCAUGCACGAAAGCGUGGGGAGCAAACAGG
rnacentral:rRNA from 1 species